rnacentral:rRNA from 1 species
GUGAAGACAGCCUCGGGUUUGUCUAGGUAGGAUCCUCUUCCAAGAGGAGGCGCACUACCGGCCCGUCUCGUCCGCGUUGCGGUGAGGCGGAGCGAGAGCGUACACGUUGGGACCCGAAAGAUGGUGAACUAUGCCUGAGUAGGACGAAGCCAGAGGAAACUCUGGUGGAAGUCCGUAGCGAUUCUGACGUGCAAA